GUCUGAAUGCGCUAGAUCGUACAAAACACUUACUCGCCCCCCAAGAGAUUCCUACUAAUAGAUCUAAGUAAAGAUACAACAUCUACUAGAUCUAAGUAAAGAUACAACAUACCCUUCUUUUGAACCGGAACAGAAACAUUAUUUCCUCGCACCUACCGAAGAAUGGGAUUGACUACUUGAUGAACACUAGUGGUGACUUGGCCCCGGCAAAAAGGCUGUUUUUGUUGAACUCUGGCUCAUAUACUUCUUAUACUU
rnacentral:lncRNA from 1 species